UUGAAACUCAUUCGUCUCCUGCUAAUCCCAGCCCAGCUCAACAGCAGCAUCCAUUGGCUGCGAUUUACAUAGAGGAUUAACGGGGCAACCUCUGGGCGCAAGCAAAGGGACCAAAGGAGAAAAAAUAUUCACAUAAUGCUGGGCGGAACCAGCCUGGGGACCCGACGAGGACACGCAAUGUGGAUUUUACUUUUGUUUUGUGCUGCUAAAUUUGUGUUUUUAAUGGUGCAACAAAACAGAAAUUUAAAAUGAGGCACAGCGAUGGAUUAUCUUGUGAGACUGGUGUCUUAUGUUCUACAAAGGAAACUGACCUGCUUGCAUUAGCAGGGAUUUCCUCCUAGUCUGCAGCAGUUUUUGUUCUCUUUUGAAAAGCAACUAUUUAUUCAUGACUGCAUCAAUGACAGCGUGCCAAGGGAUGUGCUAUAUUCUGGACUUACAUUAAAGCUGAAUUGUCAUGUCAAGAAGGUCAAUGCCUCCCAUAAAUGGAUCAUUUAAUUCAACAAUAGCACGUUUUUCCACAUUUAUUUAAUUGUGGAUUUUCAAUUUUGUUGUUUCACAUUUCCCCCUUUUUAUUGAUCAUUUAAUCAUUGUUAUCUGACCCCUCUGUGGUACUUAACAAUCCAUUAUUAUCAGCGUUAUCUUCGACUCCACCA